GUUAUCUCUGUCGCUGUCAUUUCCUCAUAGAACCCUAGCCGUAUUCGCCCUCCUCUUCUUGCCGUUCCUUUCGCCUACGACAACCAUCUCACCUACAUCCUUUUGCGUUCUGGUUUUCGUCCCUUUCCGAUUCUAGGCUCCUUCAAUUUCGUGUUAUUGCCUCCAUUAUUGAGUGGAUGCCUCACCGUAAGCUCUUAUCUUCUCUCUGCCAUCACCAGAACAAAAAUUUAUAUCACUCAAGUUUGAUUAGUCACUGUUCAAGGGAAAUCAAGAGGAACAAUGGAAAAAGGACCUUUCCUCUAUGCACACAAGAGAUGGAUUAGAGAGAUAAGCAAUUGAAAUUCUGUUGAUGUGAUUACGAGAAAUGAUUAAUCCAACGGGUUGUGCAACAAAAUCUUCAAGCGCUGUUAAUCUUGACAAUUGAAUUCACUUGAUUGAAUUUGAUUUUUCAUUUGAGUAUAUGGGUCACUAUAUUACCUCUGAGAAGUAACACUGUUGAAGACUAUCUAUUAUUUAGUAGUACUUUCUGACUUUUGAUUAGAGUUGAGUAGUUUAGGUAAUUAUAGGAUAAUAGCAAAAUUCUUUGUAUAGUAUAGUGUUUUUAGGAGUCUAAAAGCUGCAGUCAGGAAUUUAGGAAUGAGAUCACUCAUUAGGGAUGUUAACAACGUUUAUUGUAUAUUUAGUUUUAGAGUUAAACUUUAUGUACAAUUAUUUAUACUUGAAUUCUUUUUUAUGUAAUGAAUAAAUCUUUUCAUAAGAAGUAUAAUUUAAAAAGUAUUGUGAAAUACAAUUUCAGUACAAUUGUGACCCUAAAGUACGUAUAAGCAAUAUAUGGAAUUGAAUAUUAAAGU